rnacentral:rRNA from 1 species
GCAAGUCGAACGAGAACGGAAACUUCGGUUUCUUAUUAUAGUGGCGCACGGGUGAGUAACGCGUAGAUAACCAACCCUGGACUCUGGGAUAACCCCGCGAAAGUGGGGCUAAUACCGGAUAAUAGGGAGGCUAGUAUAGCUUCCCUUGAAAGGUCCGCCGGUCUGGGACGGGUCUGCGUACCAUUAGCUUGUUGGUGUGGUAACGGCGCACCAAGGCUUCGAUGGUUAGCGGGUUUGAGAGGAUGAUC